rnacentral:rRNA from 1 species
AACGAACGCUGGCGGCAGGCCUAACACAUGCAAGUCGAGCGAGGACUUCGGUCCUAGCGGCGGACGGGUGAGUAACGCGUGGGAACGUGCCCUUUGCUUCGGAAUAGCCCUGGGAAACUGGGAGUAAUACCGGAUGAGCCCUUUGGGGGAAAGAUUUAUCGGCGAAGGAUCGGCCCGCGUUGGAUUAGGUAGUUGGUGGGGUAAUGGCCUACCAAGCCGACGAUCCAUAGCUGGUUUGAGAGGAUGAUCAGCCACACUGGGACUGAGACACGGCCCAGACUCCUACGGGAGGCAGCAGUGGGGAAUCUUAGACAAUGGGGGAAACCCUGAUCUAGCCAUGCCGCGUGAGCGAUGAAGGCCUUAGGGUUGUAAAGCUCUUUCAGCUGGGAAGAUAAUGACGGUACCAGCAGAAGAAGCCCCGGCUAACUCCAUG